AAUCACACAAUCACAGAAUCACGGAGUCACAGAGUCACAGAAUCACAGGAUCAUGGAGUCACAGAGUCACAGAAUCACAGAGUCACAGAAUCACAGAGUCACACAGAGUCACAGAAUUACUGAGUCACAGAAUCACAGGAUCACACAGAAUCACAGAAUCACAGAAUCACAGGAUCACACAGAGUCACAGAGUCACAGAAUCACAGAGUCACAGAAUCACAGGAUCACACAGAGUCACAGAAUCACACAGAGCCACAGAUGCAGCAAGGCUGGAAGAGCCCUCAGCCCAUCCAGCUGAGCCGUCAGCCCAGCAGCAGCACAGCCACCCUGAGCCACAUUCCCAGUGCCACACAGGCCAGACUUGCCCCCUUUUGAUUUGCCUGGUUCAGGCUCACACGGACAAGGAUGCAUCUGUGCUGUGAACGUCUCUGUGAUCCCCGGCUCCGAGGCUGCAGGAAUGAGGAUGUCAGAGCCUGCAUUCUCACGCCAGAAGCCCAGGUGGAUCCAAACUGGGAUUGGUGCUGCCCGCCUGCCCCCGGGCUCGCUGCAUCUCUGUGGUGGGGCUCAUGCCAGGGGAGCCCAGGGUGUGGGGGCACUGGGGGACCCCACCCCGAACAUGCCUGGGGGCUGGGCUCAUCUCCAGCUCUCUGGGCAGAGCUGGGUUUGCCAGAGCCAGCAGGAGGAGGCAGGGCUGGAAUGGGGGCAGCAAUGCCAGGCAGAGGCAGGAGCACCACGGAUUAGCUUCAAUUGCCUGGGAAAUGAGCCCUGCCCAGCUCUGGGAGCUGGGCCUUGUUUGGGGUGGGUUUGUGAGCCCUGAUAGCCCAGGGCCUGCUCUGCCACGCCUGGCUGCUGCCAGCCCAGUAUCCAUGAAUUCCUGCAUCCUUUACGGGCACAGACUGAGAAAAACACGGUGCUUGCUCAUGCUGGGCAAGAUUUCAGAGUUGUCAGUAUUCAGUCACUGAAUUUCAGGGCUUGGAAGCUUUUCUGGCUUCCUUCCAGUCAAUCCCUGCUGCACAGCAGCUGCACAGAACUCCUCAAUGUCCUCAGAAUGGAGCAGAACAGCAGUCACGAGCAGCAAAGCCCUGGAAAAGCACUGGAUGGACUCAGCUCAACCACCGGGUGUGAGUUAAACACCAGGAUGGUUCACAAAACACUGCAGCUAAACCAAUCCCUAAAGCCGGGCAGGAGCAACGUUUCCCCUGCAGUGCAAGCCCCCACCCCAGCCCGUCCCUGUGGCAGAGCUGAGAGCGAGGGAACGGGCUCAGGCUGGGCCAGGGGAGGCUCAGGGUGGGCACGGGGAAAAUUCCACCAUGGCAAGGGCUGUCCAGCCCUGGCACAGCUGCCAGGGCAGUGCUGGAGUGCCCACCCCUGGGAGGAUUUAAAAGCCCUGGGGAUGUGGCACUUGGGGACAGGGGUCAAGGGCUGGGUCAGGUUCACUGCCUUGGCCCCAGGCACCCCCAGGCACCGAGGGGGCUCCAGUGGGGCUCAUCCCUGGGGUGCCCUGCCUGCACCAUCCCUGCAUCUCCAUUUCUCCCUGGCAGCCCGGUGUGACCCCUGUGAGCUGAUCCUGGGGCGUGAUCCUGGGGCUGAGAUGAGCAGGGCACUUUGGAGGAUGGCCCUUAUGUGACAAGAGCUGUUUGGAAAGCAAAGGGCCAGUGGCUGUGCCUGGGGGAGCUGGAGCAGGAUCCCUGCAGGGUGGGCGAUGCCCCAGGCCUGUCCCUGGAGCAGGAGCGUUUGGACAAUGUCCCCAACAACGCUGGAGCUCCCGCUCAGCCCUAGAGGGAGCCAGCAGUGGGGCUGGGACGGGAGCAGAGUCCCCACAGAAGAUCUUGGAACCUUGGGUGAGCCCCAAAAGCUGCAAAACCUCCUGCAAGUGGAGGGAGCCAGGGAGAAAAGCCCCAGGUGAGCAAGGGGUCCCAGGAGCUGAGGGUGAAUGGUCAAACACUGAGCAAAUUGUCUUAGAAACGAACCCGGAGGGGAAAAACUCAAAGCAGAGGGAACGAUCCUAAAGGAGAGAUUGAGGAAAAUCAAGAGAUUCUUUCCCUGUGUCAUAAUGGGCAAAAUAACCCCAAACAACCCCCCAACCAAAACAACAAAACCAACAACAAACAAACAAAACCCCAAAACCAAGCAAACAAACAAUCCCCAGACAAACCUACCAACCAAACAAAAGAACCCAAAAUCCAAAAAAACCAAAACAAACAAACAAAAAACAAAUCAGUGUUUCCCAAAUACAGCGCUGUCCACACCAGGAAUAUGACAGUUCUGGAGAGCAGGGAAUGAAAGCAGAGAAUUGCUUGGAAGCCUGGAAACAAUCCCUUGGCAGUACUGGUUUGUAGUGGGUUGUUCUCACCCUGUGCUAUCCUCUGCUGCUGCUUUGCUCUGUGUUUUCCUGGGCUUCUGUAGAGGAGCUGGACUCUCUGAAGGAGCCAGUGUUUCAUCUGCUGGGCUGUGCCUGGCAUCUUGCAGUCCAAUUCUUACAUAAUCCAAUUGAAAUGGAUGGAUUGUUUAGAAAUGAAUAAGGAAGGGUAAUUAGCUUAUUCUAUCCAUGUAAAUAAAAUGUCUCACUACACAGCUUCAGUGACAGUAGAGAAGGCAAACACUUGAAAAUGCAAGGAAAAGAUGACAAAAAAAACCCCAAACACAAAUCAGGAGAAAAUUUGCUUUGUGUCAAUCAUGUUUUCCUGUAACAAAGUGAACUGAAGUGGGUCUGAUUUAGGAAAAUCUCUCUUUCACACUGUCCCACAAUUCCUCUUUGUCUCAGAGCAAUGUUCCUGGCUCCUGGGAGAACUUCCCGGGCUGCUCCCAUCCAGGUGUGCCAGCUCGUGUCCUGGGGGAGGCGGCAGCUCCCUGACAGCUGCAGCCCGAACCCCUGGGCUGGAGAAAGGAUUUAUCCAACAGCCUCCCCGGCAUGAAGGCAUCCAGGAUUUGAUGGAAUAAAAUGUUUUCCGUGCUUAGGGAGAA